rnacentral:rRNA from 1 species
UACGUAGGGGCAAGCGUUGUCCGGAAUCAUUGGGCGUAAAGCGCGCGUAGGCGGCCCUGUAAGUCCGUUGUGAAAGUCGAAGGCUCAACCUUCGAAAGCCGAUGGAUACUGCAGGGCUAGAGUCCGGAAGAGGCGAGUGGAAUUCCUGGUGUAGCGGUGGAAUGCGCAGAUAUCAGGAGGAACACCAAUAGCGAAGGCAGCUCGCUGGGACGUAACUGACGCUGAGACGCGAAAGCGUGGGGAGCAAACAGG